UACAGAGGAUGCAAGCGUUAUCCGGAAUGAUUGGGCGUAAAGCGUCUGUAGGUGGCUUUUUAAGUCCGCCGUCAAAUCCCAGGGCUCAACUCUGGACAGGCGGUGGAAACUACCAAGCUGGAGUACGGUAGGGGCAGAGGGAAUUUCCGGUGGAGCGGUGAAAUGCGUAGAGAUCGGAAAGAACACCAGUGGCGAAGGCGGUUGCCUGGGGCUUUGCUGACGCUGAUGCGCGAAAGCGUGGGGAGCGAUCCGG
rnacentral:rRNA from 1 species